GCCAUUUUCGAGUGAUGCCUGAUCUCAUCAAUCUAGCGGGAGGGAAGGGAUAACCUGUCCGAGCGUAGCGCGACGCUAGGAUCGCGCCGGAAAACCCCCCAAAAAAUCAUCAAAAAAUUUAACUUAGACCAAAGGGCAGUCGGCGGGGCUUCGCCAGAUGCGGCGCAGUCGAUUCUAACUGUUAGAAGAGUACCAAUUCUGGAAAACAACCAAAGUUUCUUUGAAUGAAUGCCCACGUAAUGCAUUGGAAUAUAAUAAGAGAUUAAGGUUUAACAAUGUUAAAAUGAAGAUAUUACUAAAAUGGCCCUCUAAAUAGCCCAACAAUUAUUAUUUUCAUUAUCCUAUGAAUUUGGCUUUGAAAGGUGUGCUGCUCUUAAUAAG
rnacentral:lncRNA from 1 species